AGAGUUUGAUCCUGGCUCAGGAUGAACGCUAGCGGCAGGCCUAAUACAUGCAAGUCGUACGGUAAGACACCCUUCGGGGUGUUGAGAGUGGCGGACGGGUGCGUAACGCGUAUGCAACCAACCCCCGACGGGCGGACAGCCGGUGGAAACGCCGGAUAAUACGCCAUGCGGCUGUCCAGGGGCAUCCCUGGGCGGUCAAAGCCUUGGCGGUCGGGGACGGGCAUGCGUGCCAUUAGAUGGUCGGCGGGGUGACGGCCCACCGAGUCGACGAUGGCUAGGGGAUCUGAGAGGACGGUCCCCCACACUGGUACUGAGACACGGCCCAGACUCCUACGGGAGGCAGCAGUGGGGAAUAUUGCACAAUGGGGGAAACCCUGAUGCAGCAACGCCGCGUGAGUGAAGAAGUAUUUCGGUAUGUAAAGCUCUAUCAGCAGGGAAGAAAAUGACGGUACCUGCAGAAGAAGCCCCGGCUAACUACGUGCC
rnacentral:rRNA from 1 species